ACUCAAAGGAAUUGACGGGGGCCCGCACAAGCAGUGGAGCAUGUGGUUCAAUUCGAUGCAACGCGAAGAACCUUACCUGGGUUUGAAAGGCAAGUGACCGUCGAUGAAAGUCGAUCUCGUAGCAAUACGCACUUGUACAGGUGCUGCAUGGCUGUCGUCAGCUCGUGCCGUGAGGUGUUAGGUUAAGUCCUGCAACGAGCGCAACCCCUGCACUUAGUUGCCAUCAGGUAAUGCUGGGCACUCUAAGUGGACUGCCUACGCAAGUAGUGAGGAAGGCGGGGAUGACGUCAAGUCCUCAUGGCCCUUACACCCAGGGCCACACACGUGCUACAAUGGUUGGUACAAAGGGCUGCUAAGCCGUAAGGUGGAGCCAAUCCCAAAAAACCAACCUCAGUUCGGAUUGGGGUCUGCAACUCGACCCCAUGAAGCUGGAAUUGCUAGUAAUCGCGGAUCAGCACGCCGCGGUGAAUACGUUCCCGGGCCUUGUACACACCGCCCGU
rnacentral:rRNA from 1 species